AGACUGAACGCUGGCGGCAUGCCUAACACAUGCAAGUCGAACGGCAGCACAGCCCCGCAAGGGGUGGGUGGCGAGUGGCGGACGGGUGAGGAAUACAUCGGAAUCUGCCCUGUUGUGGGGGAUAACCCAUCGAAAGGUGGGCUAAUACCGCAUGAGACGGUGACGUGAAAGCGGGGGACCUGUGAGGGCCUCGCGCGACGGGAUGAGCCGAUGUCGGAUUAGCUAGUUGGUAGGGUAAAGGCCUACCAAGGCGACGAUCCGUAGCUGGUCUGAGAGGAUGAUCAGCCACACUGGGACUGAGACACGGCCCAGACUCCUACGGGAGCAGCAGUGGGAAUAUUGGACAAUGGGCGCAAGCCUGAUCCAGCAAUGCCGCGUGUGUGAAGAAGGCCUUCGGUUGUAAGCACUUUUAUCGGAGCGAAAAGCGACGGUAGAAGAUCCCGGCGUCAUCGACGGUACCGAAGGAACUAAGACGACCGGACUAACGUUCGUAG
rnacentral:rRNA from 1 species